UUAUGUAUUAUUCAUUCAACGCUAGUUAAGUUUUGUUCACCAUAUGUCAAUGUCUAUGUGACUUGUGCCUGCCGUGAUGUUAAGUAUCAUAGCCUAGCGUCUAGCUAUCGCUAGCCCAACAUUUGUUGCUAACGUUAUCUGUUAGAAACACUAAACUGUAGAUCUACCAAAGACUCUUUUCGGACGUGGCUCAUGUGUUUUCAUCACUGAAAACGAUUAUUUAUAAAAACUCCAAAGCCAAUAACUCCAGUUUCACGUUUGCAUGUGUAACAGCUAAAUGGUAUGAAGCAUGAUUAGUAUGUUCGACCUCCAUAUUAGUUAGCAUUUUUCAACUGGAAUUAUUGCAGCUUGGUCAUUAGCACUAGCUAGUUCUUUUCCUCAUGGUAGCAGCUACAGGAAUUGCUUUCAAAUUCUUUGAUUUUAUGUUAUUUCAUAUCAAUACAAAGUAGGCCUAUUUUGUUUGAGCAAAAACAUUAGUUUACUAUUUACUAUUUAUAUAAUUGAGUUAAUUUCAUUGAGCUUGGUGCUAACAUGAUCUUUUCUCUUAUAGAGAUGUUGUCAAGCAGACCAAAUCCCUGAAUGAACUUACAUCGACUGUGAUAGCCCAACGCACUCUUGUCCUGAAGGGAAUUCCUGUUUUACAUGGAUCAAGUCCAGCAAAUUCUACAGCACAGCAUUUGACGCUGUGACUGAUGGGACUAUCUCAUGUGUUGAUGUGCUCACUGUUCUUGGGGAGAUUGACGGCUAACAUCAUUUCCAGGGUCCAAGCUGCUGUCAGGUGUUAUGGUGGCACCUUAUUUCUGCUUGAUAUAAUAUAAUAUUAAUUUUCUGCUUGAUAUUACUAUGUAAUAAUUAUUACUAUUAUUAUUUUACUGCGGAGUCCAAGCACUCUUAUUUUACUUUAAAUAUGUUGAAU